UACGUAGGGGGCAAGCGUUGUCCGGAUUUAUUGGGCGUAAAGCGCUCGCAGGUGGUCCGAUACGUCGUGCGUGAAAUCCCCGGGCUCAACCUGGGAAUUGCGAUGGAGACUGCAAGGCUAGAAUCUGGCAGAGGGGGGUAGAAUUCCACGUGUAGCAGUGAAAUGCGUAGAGAUGUGGAGGAACACCGAUGGCGAAGGCAGCCCCCUGGGUCAAGAUUGACGCUCAGGCACGAAAGCGUGGGGAGCAAACAGG
rnacentral:rRNA from 1 species